AUAACAACAUUAACACCGAUAACAACACUAACACCGAUAACAACAUUCAACAUAAAGAACUUGAAAAUAUACCACCCCAAUCAAUUAAUACAUCGCCAUUUUUUAACAAAUAUUAUAAAGAACAAUUUAUAACAUAUAUAAAAAAUUUUAAAGAAAAAAUGGAAAAUAGUUUAAAGUUAAUAAACAGUACAAGUAUUAAAAAUAUAUAUCAAGGUACGAUAAAUAAAGAAGAAAUUAAUAUUAAUAAUAAUUAUAUACAUUAUGCUAAAAUAAAUGAAUAUAUAUUUGUUACUUUUCGUUUGACUAACCCUUUACAUACAAAAAUAGAAUGUCAAGAAACACACAUAUGUGUAUAUUAUUACAACGAUGAAAUCAAUAAAGAUAUACAAGUACAAAAACGAAUUUUCAUUUUGGAACCUAAAGAAUCUAAAACUUUUACGCUAUACAUUAAGCCGUUGAGACGGGGCUUGCUAUUUAUAUCUGGUAUAAUAUGGCACCUGUUCGGACUCGUCAAGAUAUACCAAAGCUUUUAUACACAUGGACAAAAAAAUAUACACAAAAAACAUAACCAGUUACAUUGCUUAAAAUAUGACGAUGUAUAUAAUGCCAAUAAUAUUGCUGAAAAAAAUGAUAAAAUAAAAAAACUGAAUAAAGAAAUGGAAAGUUUUGUUUGGUCAUCUAAUAUUGGUAUGCAACAAAACCAAAACUUAGAACAUAUAAAAAAUUAUCACAUUGAUCAUAGACUACUUCUAUACGUAUACGACAAUGUAUACUCUUUAAAUUUUUCAUUUGUUAAUGUAUAUACAAAACAAAAAAAAAACUACUAAUAAUUAUGAAGUGGAUAUGAUACAGUUGCUAGAAGGAGAAAAUAUGAAAAUGAUUAUAAAAAUAACUAACACUUCUAUUUUACCAGUUAACUAUUUAUGUAUAUGUAUUACUCCUUGUACUGUUUUUGAAUGUUAUAAAAUUGUGUGUAACAACGAAGAAGAAUACUUUUUAAAUAGUAACAAAAGAAAGAAAAAAAAUUAUUACAAUAAGAGGACAAACUGUUUAAAAAGGUAUUACAUACCUACGAAUGAGACACUUGGUCAAUAUAAAAUUAAUCACGUAAAUGAUGAUGGUACUAUUCCAAAAAUGUUUAUACAAAACGAUAUGUAUUGUGAAAAUCUGAUCAGUAACGAUAUUAACGUGUUCAGGCAAAAAUUUAAACAUAAAAAAUGUUCAACAUAUAAAAAUUUAUGGUAAUAUAAAAAAAAAAUUAUACACUGUUUUUACAUGUGAAAGUUAAUUCUAAUUAUAGCGGAUUACAUAAAUGCUUAAUUACUGCUUUAUGUUCAUAUGAAAAUGAUAAUAACGUAUUAAAACGUAAUUGUAAAAGUAAUGAUAAAAGUAAUCACAUACGCAGUGAUAAAAGUAAUGACAUACGCAGUGAUGAACAAACAAAUGAAAAUUUAAAAAAUAAAAAAAAUCAUCUGACUUAUUAAUAAAAGAAA
ensembl:lncRNA